ensembl:lncRNA
AAACACAUCUUUAUCCACUCAUCUUUUUUUUUUUUUUUUUUUUUUUUUGGUCUUUUUGCUAUUUCUUUGGGCCGCUCCUAUGGCACAUGGAGGUUCCCAGGCAAGAGGUCCAAUCAGAGCUGUAGCCACCAGCCUACGCCAGAGCCACAGCAACGCGGGAUCUGAGCCGCGUCUGCAACCUAUGCCACAGCUCACGGCAACGCCGGAUCAUUAACCCACUGAGCAAGGGCAGGGAUCGAACCCACAACCUCAUGGUUCCUAGUCGGAUUUGUUAACCACUGCGCCACGACGGGAACUCCUAUCCACUCAUCUUUUGAUGGACAGUUAGGUAGCUUACAUAUCUUGACAAUUGUAAAAAAUGCUGUUGUGGACAUUGUGGUGCACGCAUAUUUUCAAAUUAGUAGUCCUGACUUUUCUGAUGUAUACUCAGGGCUGGAAUGAAUUGCCGGGUCAAGUGGUAAUUCUAUUUUUAGUUUGUUGAGAAACAUCCACACUGUUUAGACUGUGACUUCCCCAAUUUAAAUCCUUACCAAUACUGUACAAAGGUUCUUGAUUUUCUACAUCCCCACCAAAAUUUGUUAUUUGUGUUCUUUUUGAUGAUAACUGUUCUGAGGACCUCAAGGCCUCUUCAGGAAGAUAGAAUUUAAAGCCUCUGGCCAAGACAAGAAUCUCCAGACCCUUAUUAUUGCCCCACCUGUCUCAUUGUAAAGCUCCCCCACCUUGAGCAACCUGGCCUAUUCCUUCCUGCCCCUACCAACCAGCAAGUGUAUGAUAAGACCCCUCUUUCCCCAGCCAAUCAGCAGGUCAGCAGCUAUAUUGCAAGACCUCUCCUCUCUCACUGGGAUAUGAAAACAGGCAUGACCUUGCACUCAGCUUUGGCUCUCCCUGAUCAUUGAGAAGUCUUCCCACUGUGUUUGCAGUGUCUCUUAUCUCAAUAAACUUUUCUUCCUCUUCUUCCCCCUGCCACAAUGGAAAUACUUCUGCUGACCUCUAUGGACAGACCACAAUAUCUCACUAUGAUUUUAAUUUACAUUUGUCUGAUGAUUAGCAAGUAGGGCAUUUUUUCAUGUUGCCUUUGGCCAUCUCUAUGUCUUUCUUGGAAAAUGUCUAUUUAGGUUUUCUAUCCUUUUUUUUUUUUUUUUUUUUUUUUUUUUUUUUUUUUUUUUUUUUUUCUUGGGCCACUCCCACGGCAUAUGGAGGUUCCCAGGCUAGGGGUCGAAUUGGAGCUGCAACCACCAGCCUACUCCAGAGCCACAGCAAUGCUGGAUCCGAGCCGUGUCUGCAACCUACACCACAGCCCACGGCAAUGCCGGAUCCUUAACCCACUGUGCAAGGGCAAGGAUCGAACCCGCAACCUCAUGGUUCCUAGUAGGAUUUGUUAACCACUGCGCCACGACGGGAACUCCUCUAUCUAUUUUUAAGUGGAUUCUAUGUGGGGUUUUUUGUGUUUUUUUUUUUUGAUGUUGAGUUGUAUGAAUGAUCUCUCUCUAUAUAUAUAUACACAUAUAUGAACAUUGCGUGUAUAUGUAUAUCACAUAUAUGAACAUUGCGUGUAUAUCACAUAUAUGAACAUUGCAUAUAUAUGAUAUGAAUUCCUUAUCAAUCAUAUAAUAUAGAAAUAUAUUCUGCAAUUCAGUAGGUUGUAUUUUCAUUUUUUUUCAUGGUUUCCUCCUCUGUGCAAAAUAUUUAAGUUUAAUUAUGACAUUUUUGUUCAUUCUUGCUUUUAUUUCCUUUGCCUUGUGGAAAAUUAUCAAAAAAAUUAAGCUACAAUUUAUGUAGAAGAGUGCUCUGCCUAUGUUUUCUUCUAGGAAGUUUUAUGGUUUCCAGUAUUACAUUAAGUCUUUAACCCAUUUUGAAUUUAGUUUUGUUUAUGUUAGAGAAGGUUCUAAUUUCAUUCUUUAAUGUUUAGUUGUCCAGUUUUCUCAGCACAAAAUACUGAAGUGACUGUCUUUUCUCUAUUUUAUAUUCUUCCCUCCUUUGUCAUAGAUGAGUUAACCAUAAGUGGAUGGGUUUAUUUCUAGGCCCUCUAUUCUGUUCCAUUGACUUUUGUGUCUAUUUUUGUGCCAGUACCAUAAUCUAUUGAUUACUGUGGCUUUGCAGUAUAGUCUGAAGACAGAAAGUAUGAUUCCUCCGGCUCUGUUCUUCUUUCCAAAGAUCACUUUGCCUAUUUGGGGUCUUUUUUGUUUCCAUACACAUUUUAAAAUUAUUUGUUCUAGAUCUGUGAAAAAUUCCCUUAGCAUUUCAACAGGGAUUCCAUCAAAUAUGUAAAUUGCAUGGUAGUAUAGUUAUUUUAAUAUUAUUAAUUCUUCCAAUCUAUUUACAUGGUGUAUAUUUCCAUUUGUUUGUGUCAUCUUCAAUUUCUUUCAUCAGUUUUCCAGUUUUCUCUAAGUUUCUUAUAGUUUCUGUAAGUGUUCUAUUUUACCACCUAUUUAGAUUUAUUCCUAGUUAAUAUUUUUUCUUUUUGAUGUGAUGCUAAAUGAUAUUGUUUCCUUAACUUUUUUUUUCUGAUAGUUUGCUGUUAGUGUAAAGAAAUGCAACAGACUUCUGAAUAUUAAUUUUGUAUCCUGCAACUUCACCAAAUUCAUUGAUGAGUUCCAGUAGUGUUUUGGUGGCAUUUUUAGGAUUUUCUUUGUAUAGUAUUUUUUCACCUGCAAACAGUGACAGUUGUACAUCUUUCCUUCCAGUUUGGAUUCAUUUUAUUUCUUUUUCUUCUCUUAUUGCUGUGGCUAGGACUUUCAAUACUAUUUUUAAUACAAACAUAUUUGUCUUGUUUCUGAACUUUGAGGAAAAUUUUUCAGCUUUUUAACAUUGAGUAUGAUGUUAGCUGUAGGCUUGUAUAUAUGGCCUUUAUUAUGUUCAGAUAUGUUCCCUCUAUACCCACACUUUCUGGAAUGUGUUUGAUUUCUUUGCAUAUAUUGAACCAUCCUUUCUUCACUGGGGUAAAUCCCACCUGAUAAUGGUGUAUAAUCCUUUUAAUUUAUUAUUAGAUAUAGUUUGCUCAUAUUUUGUUUAGAAUUUUUACACUUAUGUUCAUCAGUGGUGUUGUCCUAUAAUUUCCUUUUUUUGUGCUAUCUUUGUCUGGCCAUAUCAGGGUAAUACUGGCCUAGUAGAAUGAAUUAAGAAACAUUCAUUCCUCUUUAAUAUUUUGUUUUAUUUUGAGAAGAAUAUGUGUUAACUGUUUCCUAACAUUUGGUAGAAUUCAACUGUGAAGUCAUCUUGUGCUUGAUCUUUGUGUUUUGCAGUUUUAUUUCUUGUAGUUGAUUUCUAAUCUCAUAUCAUUAUGGUUGGAAAAUAUUCUUGAAAUGUUAUAAAUUUUCUUAAGUUUAAUGAAGUUUGUUUUGUAGCCUAGCAUGUUAUACAUCCUGGAGCAUGUUCCAUGUGUACUUGGAACAGAAAAUACGUGCUCUCUCUCUCUCUGUAACGACAAACCCAAAAAAAACUAUAUAUACACACACACAUAUAUAUAUAUACACACACAUAUAUAUACAUAUAUAUAUCUCAUAUCUCAUAUAUAUAAAUGCAUAUAUACAAAUAUAUUUAUUUGUUUUUAGUUGCUGAUCUCUUAAUUUCAAAUCAUUUUUGAUAAUUCUGCAUUUUUACUAUUCUCCCCUCCAAAUAACUGUUUUUUAUUUCAUAUUUUACAUCUAAUUAUUUUGUGUAAUCAUUUACUGCUUAUCAUAGAUGUAAAUGAUUUUUCUCCUUUUAUCAUUUAAUAUUCCUACUAGCUAUGUGUAUGGAUUAUUUCCUACCUUUACUGAGUGUUUGACUUUACCAGUGUGUGUUUUCCUCUCAUAAUUUUCAUGUUUCUAGAUGUGGCUGUUUCUUUUCACUUAGAGAAUGUCUUUAAUAUUUCUUGUAAAGCUGAUGUGGUGCUGAAUGCUUUUAUCUUAUGCCUAUCUGUAAGGCUUUUGAUUUCUCCAUCAAAUAUGAACAGAACCCUUGCUGGGUAGAGUAUUUUUGGCUGUAAGUUUUUCACUUUCAUUACUUUAUAUAUCACACGAUUCCCUUCUGACACACAGAGUUUCUGCUGAAAAAUUAGCUGAUAGCCUUAUGGGAGUUAACGUGUACACAACGUGUUCUAUUCCCUUGCUGCUUUUGACAUUCUUUAUCUUCAUUUUUUGCCAUUUUAAUUACAUUGUGUCUUGGUAUAUUCUUCUUUGUGUCAAUCCUCUUUGUGACUUUCUUUAUCCCCUGGAUUUAGAUGUCUGAUUGUUUGUUUGUUUGUUUUUCUACAGAUUAGGGAAGAUUUCAGCUAUUAUAUCUUCAGUUAUGUUUUCAGUAUCUUUCUCUUUUUCUUCUGGGAUCACUAGAAUGUGAAUAUUAAUGCAUUUGAUAUUGUCCUUGAGUUCUCAUAAACUAUCCUAAUUUCUUUUCAUUCUUUUUUUUUCUUUUUUUCUGUUCACCAUCAGUGAAUUCAAUUACUCUGUCUUCCAGCUUACUUAUCCAUUCCUCUGUAUCAUCUAAUCUACUUUUGAGUCCUUUUCAUGUAUUUUUAUUUAAUUUAUUAUAUUCUUUAUCUCUGUUUUUUUGUUCUUUGUAUAUUCUGACUGUUAAAAACUUCUAACUUCUCACCUUGUGUAUCCAUUCUUCUCCAAAAUUCUUUGUCAUCUUUAAAAUAAUUACCCUGAACUAUUUUUUUUUCUGACAGAUUGCCUAUCCUACUUCUUUUAGUUCUUUUGGGAUUUUAUCUUAUUCCUUUGUUUCAAUCAUGUUCCACUGCCACCCCAUUUUGCCUAAGCUAUUUAAAAAUUUUUUUUUUCUGUAUCUGGUAGGUGGUAGGCUAGUUAUAUUUCCUGAUCUUGAAGAGUAGCCUUUUGUAGGAGACAUCCUAAGAGUCCUAGCAGUGCACUUCCCUGUCGUCAUCAAAGAUAUAUGCUCUAGGUGUUCCUCUUAUGAGGACUAUGUGGGUCUUCCUGUUGUGGUGGGCUAACUAUAUGGGUGAUAUGAUGGGCUUAAUAGACCCACAGAACAGUUGGUUGCCAAGCCUUUCCUUGUAUGGAUGCUUACUGCUGGUUGGGAGGGCUGUGUCAUGAGGUUGCUUAUUGCAAAACCGAGGGCCCUGGGCUAGCUAGCACUGACUUACGUGUCAGUAGAGCCAGGGCCUAGAAAUCUCUAAGGAUAUUGUCUGCCCACUGGUGGGUGAUACCAGGUCCUGGGGCUAGUGCUAGUACUGGCAGGCUGAGCCAAACCCUAGGGUCUGUCUGUAGGGCCCAGAGUUCCCAGAGAUGGUGUUGGAUCACUGUCGGGUUGAGUCACUUAAUUGUCACAUUUGGCUAAGGGUCCAAGGGGUGACACAAAGCUUGUGUUGGCCUGAUAGUGGGCAAGGCCAGGGCCUAUCUGGCCUGUUAGAGGGUGGGAUGGUUCUAUAGGCUGUGGGAAUGUGGUUUUCUUGAGGUUGCUGACUGAUUGCUGUUAGGUGAGGUUGGGCCAAAGACUGUAGCAGAUUUGCUGGUGGGUCGGGCUGGGGCUCAGGGCAUUCUGGGGUUGAUGACUGCCUUCUGAUGGGUAGAGAAAUGUCCAAGGGCAGCUGUUGGCUCAGGGGAUUUUAAGGCCUGUACAUGUCUGCUGGUGUGUUGGGCUAUGCCCACACCCAGUUAGCUGAUUGGCCUGAAGCAUUACAGAACUGUUGCUAGGGGAUUGUUGGACCAGGGUGGGGCUGGGUCUUGGGGCUAAAAAGCUAGAGAGGAUUCCAAAAAUUUGCUUACUAUUACCAGUGUUCACAUGGUAGAAGGAGCUCCCCAAAAUGGCUGUCUCUAGUGUCUAUGUCCUGAGGAUGAGAUGCAGUUGCUUCUUGCCCCUCUGGGAAACUCUCCAAGAUCAUCAGAUAGGUCUGAUUCAAGUCUAUCAAGUUACUGCUUCUUCCCUAGGUUCCAGAGUCCAUGAUGUUUUGUGUGUGCACUUUGAGAAAGUUUCUACUCCUCCCAGUCUUCCGGAACUCCUGAAAGUAUGCUUCACUGGCCUUCAAAGCUAAGUACUUUGAGGGCUCAUCUUACCAGCACAGGACUACUGGGUUGAGUAGCCCAAUGUAGGUCUUGACCUUCUCACUCAUAAUUAUUCUCCUGUUUAUGAGUCAUUCGCUAGUAGUAUGAGAUGACUAUAUUGUGACUGUGCCCCCUACCAAUCUCAUCGUGGUUUCUUCUUUAUACCUUUUUUUUUUGUAAAAUAUCUUUUCUCAUAGGUUCCUGACUCUUUCAUCAAUUAGUGUUCUGCAAAUAGUUUUGAAUUUUGGUGUGCCUGUGAGGCAAAGUGAGCUCAGUCUUAUUAACCUGUCAUCUUGGCCAAUCUCCCAAAAACUGAAGGCUUUUAAGCCAACUCGUAAAUUGUUAUUUUUUUGUCUUUUUAUGACUAUUCACACAACAUAUGGUAGUUCCAAGGCUAGGGGUCACAUCUGAGCUGCAACUGCCAGCCUAUGCCAGAGCCAUAGAAAUGUGUUAUAUUUUAAUAUCUGAAUUUACUGCUGUUUUAUCUUUUUAGUUUAAUUCUUAUUUUUAUCUAAAAAGUAAUCUUCUCUGCCCACAGCCCUGCUCCCAAGGCAUCCUUCCUCUCAUCUCUAGGCAAUAUUAUUUUUAUAGUAUGGCACCAAAAACACAAACAAACAAAAAUAAUACACAAGUUGUACUUCAUCAAAAUUAAAAUUAUUUGUGCUUUGACAGUAUCAAGAAAGUGAAAAUACAAUCCAAAUAAUGGGGGCAAAUAUUUGCAAGUUGUAUAUCUGAUAAAGGAUUAGUAUACCAAAUGUUUAAAUAAGUCUUGCAACUCAACAAUAAAACAUUUAAUAACCUACUUAAAAUGAGAAAAUUAUUUGGAUAUUUCUCAAAAAAUGACAUAAAUGGCCAGUAAGCAUAUGAAAAUACACUCAAUAUCACUAGCCAUUUGGAAAUGUGAAUCAAAAUCACAAUAAGAUACCACCUAAUUCCCACUAAGUUGGCUAUAAUAAAAAGAGAUAAUAGCAAGUGUUUGAAAGGCAGUGAAGACAUCAAAACCUUCAUAAAUUACUGGUAUGCAUGCUGCAGCCACUUUUGACAGUUACUCCAAAGCUAUAGUUAUUACACAAACAAGAAGUUACACUACUAGAUAUCUAUCAAAGAGUUCUGAAAAAAUAUAUGCACACAAAUAUUUGUACAUGAAUGUUCACUUCAACAUUUUUCAUAAUAGUCAAAUAGUGUAAACUACCAAAAUUAUAUAUCCAUGCAAUAGAAUACUAUAUGAUCAUAAAAAUUAAUGAAAUAUGGAUAUCUACUAUGACAUGGGCAAACUUCAAAAUCAGUACACCUAUUAAAAUUGCCAUGUAUUAUAUCAGCCCAAUUAUACAAAAGAUCCAGAAUAGGCAAAAAUCCAUUUAGAUAAAAAGUAAAUUCAUGGUUUCCAGGACCAGGAGAUAUGAGGAAAGUGGAAAUAAAUGCUAAUGGAUAUGGAAUUUUCUUUUUGAGAAAUAAAAAUUUUCCUGAAUUAGAUAGUGAAGAUGGUUGCACAUUUUUUGUUAGAAUACUAAAAAGUAAAUGUGAACUUAUAAACUGUAGUUUUAUUUAUAAAAUAACUGCUAUUUUAUCAGAAUCAUUGAACUCUGUUUGACCCUCCCCCACACUCAUUUCUUGCAUAAAUAUUUUGUGAGCACCUACUAAAUGACUGAUAAUGUAGUAGAUAUUGAGAAUGCUAACUCUAGCUGCAUUUGAGCACCCACAAAAAUCCCUAUAAUGCUCUCCAUUGGGUAAUGCUCAUUGACACAAGGCCUUAUCUGCUAGGCUGAUUUGUGGUAUAAUAAGCCAUAGAUUUCUUAACUAAGACAUCUACAGGAAGAAUUAACUAUCGGGUGGCCUUUCAGAGUACAGGCUCACCUAACAGUCAGAAAACAGGAACAUCUUCCUCUAACUUUAUAAAAACACUUGACUACAUCAAAGAGUUUCCCUCAAUUUUAUUACAUGUGAUGAAUCCUCUUUUGUUUAGCAGUUUACUGUUCACAGAGUGUUUUCUUAGAUGUUUUCUCACAUAAGCCUCAAAAAAGAAAAAAAAAA